UACAGAGGGGGCAAGCGUUGUUCGGAAUUACUGGGCGUAAAGGGCGCGUAGGCGGCCUUCUAAGUCGAACGUGAAAUCCCCGGGCUCAACCCGGGAACUGCGUCCGAUACUGGAAGGCUUGAAUCCGGGAGAGGGAUGCGGAAUUCCAGGUGUAGCGGUGAAAUGCGUAGAUAUCUGGAGGAACACCGGUGGCGAAGGCGGCGAUCCUGGACCGGUAUUGACGCUGAGGCGCGAAAGCCCAGGGGAGCA
rnacentral:rRNA from 1 species